UGUAACAGAGAAGAAAUUAAAAGUAUUUUGGCAAAGGGAUCCUAUGAUCAGAGAUCUAGUUUCCAAACAUGAACUCAGGAGCAGCGUGUACAACAUAUGCUGAAAAGGUCCUGGUGACAUUUAAUAUACUUCUGCUACUUGAAUUUGCUUAACCUCGAUGUUUCAUGAAACUUCUCAUGAAAUAACACCAUAUGAAAAUGUUACUGAAUGGUCACUAUCCUGUAAAAGCCUCACAAUCUGGAUUUUGCUGACUAUACCUCCAACAUGUGUUACCUGUUGUUUUCACCUCUGUAUUUCUAGUCAACUGACAGACUGGACAGUUCAUCAGACUGAAGUAUAAGUUUUCUGGCAGGAAUACUUCAAGAUGGUACAAUACACUUCUGUCAGAAAUUCCCCCAGGGUCUACAAUAUCUACAGAACUCUUUGCCCUACACAAUUCUUACGGACAGCUGCAGCGGACCACCGAUGGAGAAGAGAGCCGGGCUAGCGCCCAGACAACAUCUAUCUGAGAAGGCAUGUCAAAUGUUUAAAUAUGAAAUUAUU